rnacentral:misc_RNA from 1 species
AAACCUCAACCUCUUUGGUCGGGAAAAGGAUUUUUGGACUUGGAGGUUCAAUGCUCGCCCUUUCUUUUGAAACCGAGCUCCUCUCAAAUGAAUCAGUGGGGUCCGCUUUGCUGAUCCUUGACGUGAUAAGAUGUUUCUACGUUUUGGGUUUAGCACUGUCCCUUGGACACCUGCUCCUAACCGUCUUAUGGACAAUGAUGGUGCUCUGGUCACCGCCGUCUACAUCGGCGGGAGGCUGGACCCACAAAAAGAAAA